CCAAAAAAAAUACUUUCGCACCGAAAACAAAAACAGUUUACGCUUAUGAAUAAACAUCAGCAGUAAUAUAAAAACUCAAAAAUUUGGCGAGAAAUUCAGAACAACUCUCACUGAAUUAACUGAUAUUCCACUGUUACCACAAAAAAAAAAAGUCAAGAUGCGUUUCGCAGUUCUUUGUUUGAUGGCCAUGGUCGCCUAUACCUCAGCAUACUGUCUUGGUCCCAAUUGCUACAGACCAGCUUAUAAUCAAACUUUCAAUGGUGCAAACCGUAACCUCACCAAUAAUCGUGUCAACAACACUUUGGGCAAUAAUCUUGAAACCCGUCCCUACUUUUUGAGCCAACCGGUCUACAACAACAUGACCAACGGUCUUAGAAACAUUCGUGGUAACAACACUCAAUUCAAUGGUGUCAACAAUAACUUUAACAGAACCUUGGGAAACCGUAGCUAUUAAUAAGCCUGCGUAAGUAAUUGAGCAAAAUGGAAUCCAAGCUGACACUGUGACGAUUCGUUGUCGUCAGUCCAGCGAUUUUAUUAUUUGUUGAUCAUUAUUGUUAAUAGGGUUGUCUAAUUUCGAUGUGAGUAAUAAAUAUAUAAAUUUAAAAAAUUA